GUAUCUCCGCUCCUCACCCUCUCCGGGCAGUCUGUUCCAGAAAGAAGCUGUGCUCUUCUCUGUGCUCCGGUGGAGCUUCCUGUGCCUUCCCCUGGCCUCGUGUUCCCUCUCUUGCCCGUCCAGAAGGAUGGGGCGCCUCUCGUGAGGGGCUGGGACAAAGGGAUUGUUCAGCCUGAAAAGAGAAGCUUGGGAUAAUGUUGACCUGAAAUUGACACUCGCCAGCUCCAUCUGCUCCCCAGUAAUGGGGCUGGAGAAGAGCCAGUCCUCAGUGACUGUUUCCCCACGUAAAGAGCUGAUGUUGGGCUCUCAGCUUCUAACCCUGCCCACAGAUCUGCUCCAGCCUGGCACACACACAGGCUUCAGUAUCUUCAGUCCACAGCCCCUGACCAGGAAUCUUCUGCUCCCUCCACAAAUGUUCACCACCCAGCAGUUCUCAGGCCUGUUGGUCAGAUCUGUUUCCUUUAGAACCAGGUGAAUUUCUCUACGCCACUGAAGUAGUUGCUUCUAAAAAUAAAUGGUGUGAUAAUUUGUAAAUUA